CGCUUUUGUGAAUCGUGAGAAAUCGUCCGUAAUUUUCAUGAUGUUCAUCUGAGGUAUUACCUGAUAAUCUACGAUGAUAAUUGAUGCUGAAUUCUUCGCAUUUAAUCUUCGGUUGUUGAGUUGUUUAUUUUGUUGCUGACGGAGUUUUAUUGACAGAAUGCCAGGGUCGACAGCUGUACCACAUGCGAGCUUCAAAACUGCGAUUGCAUGAGGCAAGAGGAUGCACGAUGCAUCUUCACCGGAAGGCUUGAGAAAAUAUAGAUCCUUGGGCGUUCUCUGGAGCAACGGGCAACGAGAAUUUAGUGACAAUAAAUUGUGUGAACAUGA
rnacentral:lncRNA from 1 species